UACGGAGGGUGCAAGCGUUGUUCGGAAUUACUGGGCGUAAAGCGCGCGUAGGCGGACUGGUCAGUUGGGGGUGAAAUCCCGAGGCUCAACCUCGGAACUGCCUUCAAUACUGCCAGUCUUGAGUUCGAGAGAGGUGAGUGGAAUUCCUAGUGUAGAGGUGAAAUUCGUAGAUAUUAGGAAGAACACCAGUGGCGAAGGCGGCUCACUGGCUCGAUACUGACGCUGAGGCGCGAAAGCGUGGGGAGCAAACAGG
rnacentral:misc_RNA from 1 species